GGGUUGUGAGGUUAAGCGACCAAGCGUACACGGUGGAUGCCCUGGCAGUCAGAGGCGAUGAAGGACGUGCUAAUCUGCGAAAAGCGUCGGUAAGGUGAUAUGAACCGUUAUAGCCGGCGAUGUCCGAAUGGGGAAACCCAGUGUGA
rnacentral:rRNA from 1 species